rnacentral:rRNA from 1 species
UACAAGGUCUCCGUGGUGACCAGGCGGAGGAUCAUUA